UACGUAGGGGGCAAGCGUUGUCCGGAUUUAUUGGGCGUAAAGAGCGUGUAGGCGGUUUGGUAGGUCCGUUGUGAAAACUCGAGGCUCAACCUCGAGACGCCGAUGGAAACCAUCUGACUAGAGUCCGGAAGAGGAGAGUGGAAUUCCUGGUGUAGCGGUGAAAUGCGCAGAUAUCAGGAAGAACACCCGUGGCUAAGGCGGCUCUCUAGUACGGUACUGACGCUGAGACGCGAAAGCGUGGGGAGCAAACAGG
rnacentral:rRNA from 1 species